UCUAAUAUGGCAGAAUAGUGCAGGGGAUUUAAACUCCUCAAAUAAAGUAAUUAAUAUAACUUUUUUUUAGAA
rnacentral:tRNA from 1 species